rnacentral:rRNA from 1 species
UACGGGGGAUGCAAGCGUUAUCCGGAUUUAUUGGGUUUAAAGGGUGCGUAGGCUGUAAGGUAAGUCAGCGGUGAAAUGCCCCCGCUCAACGGGGUGAAGUGCCAUUGAUACUGCCUUGCUGGAAUGCGGAUGCCGUGGGAGGAAUGUGUGGUGUAGCGGUGAAAUGCAUAGAUAUCACACAGAACACCGAUUGCGAAGGCAUCUCACGAAAUCCGCGAUUGACGCUGAUGCACGAAAGCGUGGGGUAUCAA